CCUACGUGUGGCUGCAGUGGGGAAUAUUGGACAAUGGGCGAAAGCCUGAUCCAGCCAUGCCGCGUGUGUGAAGAAGGCCUUCGGGUUGUAAAGCACUUUCAGUGGGGAAGAAAGCCUUGGGGCUAAUACCCUCGAGGAAGGACAUCACCCACAGAAGAAGCACCGACUAACUCCGUGCCAGCAGCCGCGGUAAUACGGAGGGUGCGAGCGUUAAUCGGAAUUACGGGGCGUAAAGCGCGCGUAGGCGGUCUGAUAAGCCGGUUGUGAAAGCCCCGGGCUCAACCUGGGAACGGCAUCCGGAACUGUCAGGCUAGAGUGCAGGAGAGGAAGGUAGAAUUCCCGGUGUAGCGGUGAAAUGCGUAGAGAUCGGGAGGAAUACCAGUGGCGAAGGCGGCCUUCUGGACUGACACUGACGCUGAGGUGCGAAAGCGUGGGUAGCAAACAGGAUUAGAUACCCCUGUAGUC
rnacentral:rRNA from 1 species